UCUUUCCUUGUCUUGGGGUGAGUGAGCUACUCAAUGAACGACUAGUGAGAGUAGCCCUGCUGACACCAUAACAACACUAAAGCAUCACCUGGACUUCUGUUCAGGAAAUGGUGCAAUUUUUGGAAAC